ACCUUCUUCCCUAGUGCAGAGGGAAAUGUCUUCCCCAUUUCGUGGAAGUUUAGUGAGGACUUGCAAGUUUUCCUCAUUUAAAAGAAUUGGAACUCCAUUGAUGCUCGAGACAAGUUCACCAUCUUCGUCCUUCCCGAGAUUGGAAUAGAAGGCACGAAUUAGAGAAGGGUGAAUGUAAGGGGAUUGAAGAUAUAUGAAUUCAAG
rnacentral:lncRNA from 1 species